AGCUCCAAUAGCGUAUACUAACGUUGUUGCAGUUAAAAAGCUCGUAGUUGGAUUUCUGUGUGGGUCAGCCGGCCGGCGCUUAGGCGUUGUAGCUAGGUUUGCCCCGCGCAUCUUGUCGCAAUUGCCACUGGCAUUCACUUGUUGGUGUGCAGGACCGACUCGUUUACUUUGAGAAAAUUAGAGUGUUCAAAGCAGGCUAUUGCCUUGAAUAUGUUAGCAUGGAAUAAUGAUAUAG
rnacentral:rRNA from 1 species